UGAAUCCCUCUGCUGGAGCGUUGGGUGUGUGCGAGACAGGAGGAAGGCUUAAGACACAUCGCUGUGUGUUUGAUAAAUGUUAAAGGAGUUGAAAAUUUGCCGCUUCAUCUGCUUUGGAUUAUUUUGCAAUCAACAAGCAUAUUUUCCUCAGUGAAACGCUGUCAUCGGCUUUUUCUGCAACCCAUCCCUCCAUGAAAAUAUCCCUGGGGCAGCCUACUGCUCCACUGCUAUGUACAGUUCAUUACUCUUCGCUGGUGACCAGACCUGAGCGCUCAUUCUUCACAAACUGAAAGUAGAUCAGAGCUAUUCAUAUUCCAUCUCGUUUGAGGCUGAUUUGCCAAACAAGCCCAGAGAAGUCAUGCUAAUCAAGGACAUUGGAAGAUAGGAAAAAAACUCACAGAGACAUUUUGCACUCUACCAUACUUUCAGACUUCUUAACCUGCUUAACCAGCAAGAGUUCCUUUGUCAACCAGCUAACUGACAGCCUUCUUCUGCUAAUAGACAGAUCAGCUAAGCCAGCCUGAAAAAAAAAAAAAAAAAAAAAAAAAAAAAAAAAAAAGGAAACAUGUCCAUGGAAGAAUUGUUCACAAUAAAGAGAAAAUAGUAAAUUUACGCAUUUAGAAAAUAAAUAGGGUGAAUUUUCAUUUCAUGCCGACUUGAAGCUGGUUUUCGGGAAUGAAGGUGUUUGGCCACUUUUACUUUUUAAAGUUUUUACCAAGGAGAUAACAGUGUCAAGAAGAGCUUGAGAUGAAAGAUAACAUGAUGUGUGGGAAAGAAAAAUCAAGUUCCUGUGAACAGCUAUUUCUUUACAAGAUGAACGAGUGUACAAGACACGAAUGUAUGAGACAAGACAACAAAAAAUGAAUAAAAAAUUACAUUUCUG
ensembl:lncRNA